GUGUUGUAUGAGAGGAGAAUGUCAGCACUCAUGACAAGGAUGGAAGAGGCUCUGGGGCCUAAUGAUGCAUGUGCGGAUUAGGCGUUGCCACCUACCUCAUGGCAUCUAACCAUCACUUUAA